rnacentral:lncRNA from 1 species
ACAUUUGGGCAGUACGCAUUCGGAGGGCUCUCUGGCUUUCCGAUCUUGGGUCGCUGUACUUGGCUCUGAAUACAGUCACCCCAUCAGAGUAGCAAAACACUGUGGUUGUAGUGUGAGAAUCCAAUGUUAAUGUUGGCCGAAAGCUCUUGAUUUUCUUCCCUGAGAACAUAGGCGUGAGGAUUUGGAUGUGUUUCCAAAUGCUUGUUACUCUUUGCCGUAAACCUGGAAUUUGGACCUAUGGCUGCCUGGGACUCAUACUGUCGUGGAGAAAGAUUGAAAAGUAGUUAAUGGCAGUGGUGGUAUGAAGUCAGCAUGAAUACCAGCACAGCCCAACUAUGUGUAAGCAGAUCUGUGCAGGAAUGAGAGUCCCAGGGAGAGAAUCCACGUUGUUUCUGAAAGAAAAUGGCUAUAGCUCACUGUUGUUUACUGGAAAUAGUAGGGGGAAGGAAAGAUGGAAGUCCAGGUCCAGUGUCAUAUACUGCCCUGCACCUUACUCACUUCUCUGCCUUUAGGGUGAUGCCACACUCAAUCAGAAACUAUGCUACUGCUGAAGAGGUAUAUUGAGCCCUGCCUGGUUAACCUCCAGUGAGGUUAUUAGAGAAUUGGGAGAGGCUCAAAUCAGCAUCCUGCACCUAGUUAUCAAACCAUUGUGAAGUCUUGAUUCCUGGAUGGCCAGAAAACUUGUCAUUGGUCAAGAGCAACAUUAAGAUCUGCCUGUUACUCAUACUGAUGCUUCCUGCCCAGCAAGUUCAUCAGAGGGCGAGGAUGAAUUACGGUUGCCAUGAAUGUCCUUGUGAGGCAGUUGGGAAGCCUUGGCUGGAUUGUGAAGGAUAUUUGAAAAGUAUUUUAGAGUCCACCAGAUCAUCCAUGUGAGUGACCAUGCAGCAAAAGAAGGAGGGUCCUCUCAGUGAUUAAGGUAACAUAGUGAUUAAGGUAAGUAGGGAAAGAGAGGCUUACUUUGCCCUGAUUCUUGUCAGGGAGGCUCUUAGAGAUGCCAUUUCCAGAGCAUAAGUGACAGGCCAGCAUUUUCAAAGCUUGCAACUUAUUCUAUAAUAUAUCCUUCUUAAAACAAUUCAUGUAGAUUAUAUGCUCACCCAGUCUGGGAUCACUCCUGCAGAAGAUCAGAAGAACUGAAAUAUAGGUGACAUAAGCUCCUGCUUUUGUAAAUGUUUUGUUGAAACACAGUUGUGUUCAUCCAUUAUUGUCGAUGGCAGCUUUCAUGCUACAGCAGAGUUGAGUAGUUGGGAGAGAAACCAAAUGGACCAUAGAGUUUGAAAUAUUACUGUCUGGCCCUUCACAGAAAGUUUGCCAAUUCCUGGCAUAGGUUAAAUAAAUGUACUAUAUCCACAAAUCCUCCUCUCCCCAUUUUCCUUUCAAUGGGACUUGCAUUUACAGUUGAUCCUAGAAUGUAUGGAAUCUCAUAGUAAUCAGCUUGCUUCUGAAUUUCUUCCCACUCAAAUUAAGCUCACUCAGAAAGCACAUUCACAAAUUGGGCUACAUAUACAGAAGGAGCUAUGUUUUAUAUGCCUCACUGUAGUCAACUCAUUUAUCCUAUAUGUAUGGUUCCCCCAUUUUUUCCUUCUUUUCAGGGGUAACUUUUAAACUUGAGCCAUUCAUGAGUAUCCAAAAA